GCGGGUGUAGUUCAAUGGUAGAACUCUAGCCUUCCAAGCUAAGAACGUGGGUCCGAUUCCCAUCACCCGCUCCA
rnacentral:tRNA from 1 species